GACGAACGCUGGCGGCGUGCUUAACACAUGCAAGUCGAACGGUGAAGCUCCAGCUUGCUGGAGUGGAUCAGUGGCGAACGGGUGAGUAACACGUGAGCAACCUGCCCCUGACUCUGGAAUAAGCGCUGGAAACGGCGUCUAAUACUGGAUACGAGAAGAGUCCGCAUGGGCACUUUCUGGAAAGUUUUUCGGUUGGGGAUGGGUUCGCGGCCUAUCAGCUUGUUGGUGAGGUAAUGGUUCACCAAGGCGACGAAGGGUAGCCGGCCUGUGAGGGCGACCGGCCACCAUGGGACUGCGACACGGCCCAGACUGCUACAGGAGGCAGCAGUGGGGAAUAUUGCACAAUGGGCGCAAGCCUGAUGCAGAGACGCCGCGUGAGGGAUGACGGUUUUCGGGUUGUGAAACUCUUUAAGCAGGGAACAAGCGAAAGUGACGGUACCUACAGAAGAAGCACCGGCUAACUACGUG
rnacentral:rRNA from 1 species